rnacentral:rRNA from 1 species
AUGGCGUCCAUCGUGGUGAUCGGCCUGGUGCUGCUCCUCGACAUCCUCUCCUUCGUCCUCGCCAUCGGCGCCGAGCGUCGCCGGAGCACGGCCGGAGGCAUCGGGUUCUUGAAUCUUGAUUGGGGAAACUGGGUGCAGGCGCAACUCGGCGAGGCCGAGCCUGGUGGCAGGCGGUACUGCGUGUACGACACGGAUGCGUCCACCUGGUACGGCGUCGGCGCACUCGCCCUGCUGCUGGUCGGGCAGACUAUCGCCAUGGUGGCCAGCCGGUGCUUCUGCUGCGGCAGCGCUGUCCCCCGACCGCUGGCGCUUCUUCUCCGGCCUCUGCUGGUAUUUACCAGGGUGGUGCGUGGAAGGUCAGGGUUGAACUUACAGAAGCUUACCCCUACAAAUCGAUAUAUCAGAACUAACCUUGUGAAUAUCUUUGAGGUGUUCCUGCCUCAGCUUCUCCUGUACCCUAACCCCUCGGACCCGUGA